UGUUUCCAGUCCAAUGAUACCCUAAUACAAAAAGGGAAAAAUGAGAUAGGACUAACAAAUAGCAACUUAAGGUAGUUGUCUAUGUGCAUGAUCAACAUGAUAAAUAUAUCAUAUUGCAUUCUCAUUUCUAGAAGCUUAAAACUAGCUUAAAAGAUAUCUCUAUUUCCUUUGUAUCUUUUUAAUAAAGAAAGAACAAAAUAGCUGAUUCAG
rnacentral:misc_RNA from 1 species